UGCUUUAAAAGGUGCUUUAAAUUAGAUAUAUUUAGCUUUUAAAUAAUCCAAUUGUGUCCUUACUUCAUCAUUCUUUAAACUGAUUAUAAAAUACAAACUUCAUCCUGGCAUAUCAAUCCUCAAGUUGGAGUUUGGGAAUGAAUGAUGUAUUUAUGCCUGGGACUUCUCCCAAACCUCCUUCUGAAGCAACAGGAAAGAGAGAGAAGCUAUGUGCUAUACUACCAAAAUAAUAUUUAUUGCCUAUUAAUGAAAGUAUGAAAAAUAUCCUCAUAAUAAUCUACUUGAGAUAAAAUUAGAUAUUAAUGAUUUCAUUUUCAUCAAAUGAAAAUGGUUAUCUUUUACACCACUGCUGACCUUUUGCAUCUUUCCAGGUGAUUCUAGGAAUACUGCAAAUUCUUGGUUAUUUAACGUUUGUUUUCUAGUUUUAACAUUCUGAAAUUAAUUGACCUUUAGACAUGUUUAAACAUUGGCUUUCUGUUGAUGGAUGGAGAGAGAGGACAGGUUUGAGUUUUAAAAUUAUUUUAGAGUUUCAGAUGUUACCUGAAAAAAUUUAAAAUAAUUUUAUUUGAUUAAAUUCUAAAUCUAGUGUAGAUUUAAAGAAUAUAGAGAAAUCUUUUCUGUGGUUAAAAACUUAAACACAUCCCUGUCUACAUGGAGUUUGUUUUAGCAGGUUGGACAAUACUUAAGAAAGAAUUGUGCUAUUAAAUGAAGAGGUGUACUAGUGAAGAUUAAUGGUGUCUGGACUGGAGGAGGAAAGGCUGCUUUAAACAGGAUGCUUUAAUUCUGUCAUGUCCUAUGGCAGACCCCAAAAAAGAAGAUGAUGUCUUCUCGGAGCUGGUAAAGAGUGAAUAAUGGAAGAAAGGACUCAGAUCUGAGUACAUACUUCAAGAAAGCAAGGAAAAAGAUGGCUAUUGGGAGCCCCUUUGGCUAAUGACCUGUAGGAGAUGUGAUGACUAAUUAGUUUUUUAGGUUUUCUUUUUAUACAUUACCAUUCAUGACUUAAUAAAAUUUAUUAAAUGCCUGUUGUCUAGCAUCAGCUUUAGUUAGCAAAGCAUAAUUCAGAGAAGAGGAAUGUGGUUUUCAGCAACCAUAGAACAGCAGUCAUCACUGUGACAACCAAGAUAAAAGUCCCUGACAGAAUCCUUAAACACUAAGGUGAGACUCAAAUUUACUGCAGGAUAAGGAGAAGCUUGAUUUAUUUCUUUAUUUUAAAGUAUUUUUUAGUUAUAGAUGGACAUAAUACUUUUACUUAUUUUUUAUGUG